rnacentral:rRNA from 1 species
AAUGAACGCUGGCGGCAUGCCUAACACAUGCAAGUCGAACGAAGGCUUCGUCCUUAGUUGCGCACGGGUGCGUAACGCCUGGGAAUCUGCCCCUUGGUUCGGAAUAACAGUUAGAAAUGACUGCUAAUACCGGAUGAUGACGUAAGUCCAAAGAUUUAUCGCCGAGGGAUGAGCCUGCGUAGGAUUUGCUAGUUGGUGUGGUAAGAGCGCCCCAAGACGACGAUCCUUAGCUGGUAUGGGAAGAGGAACAGCCACAAUGGGACUGAGACACGGCCCAGACUGGUACGGGAGGCAGCAGUGGGGAAUAUUGGACAAUGAGCGAAAGCCUGAGCAAGCAAUGCCGCGGGAGUGAUGAAGGGCUUAGGGUUGUAAAGCUCUGUUAGACGGGAUGAAAAUGACAGUACCGGGCGAAUAAGCUCCGGCUAACUACGUG